GAUGAAGAAACUGAGGUCCAGAGAAGUUAAACGACCUUCCUAAGAUUACACAGCUUAGUAAGUGGCAGAACCACAGCUGGAAGCCAGGUCCUUCCUCACGCAAGUCCUGGCUCAUUCAUUCCUCUUCCAAAGACUUGCUGAGCACCUUCUAGGUGCCAGAUGCGGUGCUGGCUCCUGGGGACAUGGGAGUGAACAGGCCAGGCGUGGCCCUGAACCAUCAAAUAGACAACCACAGAAAUAACAACGUGAGUUAAAAUGAGAUUAUGAAGAAGAGACACAGGUUUCUACAAUGGUUUAGUAGAGGGAUCUCUAACCAAGUUUGGAGAGUUGAGAAAGUCUCUAUGAGGCAGUCACAUCCAUGUAAGCUAAGAUCUGAAAGACAAAAGUUGUUAUCCAGGAGAGUGGCAGCAGGGAGAGCAUUCCAGAUGCAGGGAAUAGCUUGGCACGUUUGUGGAAGAGAAAAAUCUGUUAACGUGAUUGUAGGGUAGGGUGGAAAAAAGGAGAAAUGGAGCAAGAUGAGGCUAGGGAGGCAGGCAGGGACCAGACUACGAACUGCCUUAAAGCUCUGCUUAAAAAUGUUUGCCACGAUUUGAAGAGUAAUGGGAAGCCUUGAAGGUUUUUAACCAGAAGAGUCUUAUAUUUAGAUUUGUUAUUUUUUAAAUAUCACACUGGCUGCUGUUUAGGAAUGAUGCUGGAGGCUGACGAAGAUAAGGGUGGAAAGUGGGCAAUAAAUCAGGAGCUGUUGCAACAUUCCCAGCAAAGGAUAAUGAACAAAGACAAAACCGGGCCCUUCCACACAGUAGCUGGAACACAAAGGA
rnacentral:lncRNA from 10 species